GGACGCGGGGACCUCAGGAUCCCCGGCGCUGAAGGCAGCUCGGGCCCUCCGGGACUCUGGGGACGCCCGGCUCCGUCACCGGAGCGCAACAGGGGAUCCACGCGCCCCGUCCCAGCUCUGCCGGGCUUCUUCGCCACCUUCCGGAAAAAGUGUCAAGUACAAGUUCAAGUUCAGGGCCAGGCCCCGGGGGCGCCGAGCCUGCCGGGCCGCCUUUGUUCUCCGGUACAAUCGCUCCCUCAUCCCCUCCCGGGCGGGGCCGCAGACACCCCCGCCCCGCCCCCCGCGCCCCGCAGGAGCCGCCUCCUCCCGCCCGCGCGACGCCUGUCCCCAGGUCCCGACGACCUCGCUCAGGGCCACCGAAGGGUCUGGGGGCUUAGGGCGGGGGGAGGCGCGAGUCAAGCCCGUGGGAGCCUCCCCAGCCCCGCAGUCUCAGCCGCAAACUGCGCUCGGUCGGACGGACGCCCGCGCUGAGGAGUGAAGAGCAGCCCACUGAACCCCGCUAAACCUCCUUCUCUUACCCUCUCCCCCCGUUUGGUGUUGCUGAGGAUUGAAUCCAGGGCCUCUCUGCACAAGUGCGUCACUGCUGAGCUGUACAUCCCAGCCAAGAAGCAGUUUUGCAGGGAUGGAGGAAGCUGAGAGGAAGCUCUUCUUUGGGGAAUGGAAACCGGGAGGUCAUUUUGAAGAGAAAUCAGCAGCACCUCCUGACCCUGCUGACUGCACCUCCAGGACCUGAGUUCUCUUUGGUCCACAGAUCCACAGUGAAGUCCCCAGCUCCUGGAAAAGGGAUCCUGCUGAGUGCUGGGAAGUUGCCAGUGUGUGUGAAUGGCUGGGUUAGCGCAGGUUUUCCCAGCCACCUCACAGAAAGCACCUUUGGGGGGAGCCUUCGGUUCUGGGUCCGGACUGCCACCUCUCAGAGAAGCCACGUAGUUCUUGGAGCACUGUCGGCAGGCAGAGCCACACCAAAGCAAUGCAGGCGGCCAGGACACACAGCGACAUCAUGAACUUCCCCUCUUCCCCAAAACCACCACAGACCUGGCUUCCUUUUCAGUUCGCCAAAGUCUGGAAAAUUAACCCGAGAGUCUAGGCAAAGGAAACUAUUUUCAGCGGCCUUGCUCUUGGGCAGCCCCUCUUCCCUUCCGGUGUCCCGGAAGUUCCCAGGUGUCAGGCGUAGGCACUCACAGUGACUUUUUGAGGGUGCGCAGCAUUGACCUCUACUUUGGAGGGUGCCAUACGGGUAUCAAAGGAAGCGUGUCCAGAGAAGGAGUCCGGGGCUCCGGCGCAGCCGCUGACCUCUGCGGCUUGGCGGGCUCCACAGAACCGAGACUGCGGGACCGGCCCUGCGCAGAGGCGGGCGGGCGCUGUCCACCCGGAGGUGCUGAAAUACAAGUCGCCUGGCGGAGCCGCCAGCAGGAGCUGCCGGUCCCCACCACCUCGGCCAGCGAGACGGGCUUCUCCGUGGAAGGAAAGCAGUUCCAGACGUCGUCAUCGCCCCCAAACCUCAAUGACUGCCUAACUGGUCUCACUGCUUUUUGUUCCUCAGCCUUUGCUCCACCCAGUACUACUUACUCGAAGUGGGUUUGUCUUUCUUCUUUCUCCUCUUUCCUCUCUUCUCUCUUCUUUCUCCUCCCUCCCUCCCUCCAGCCCCGCUUCCUCCCGCCCUUCCUCCUCCUUUCCUCCCUCCCUUCUUCUUUCUUCUCUUCUAUGCUGAGGAUCCAAUCAGGGCCUCUCACAUGCCAGGCCAGUACUCUACCACUGAGCUACACUCAGCCCCAGAUUGACCUUUUCAAGAGACAAUUCUGAUCGUGCUUAAAGUCCUUCUAUAGUUUCAGAAUAAAACUCAAAGUUCUUGCCACA